rnacentral:rRNA from 1 species
GCGCCGGACGGGUGAGUAACACGUGGGUAACCUGCCCAUAAGACUGGGAUAACUCCGGGAAACCGGGGCUAAUACCGGAUAACAUUUUGAACCGCAUGGUUCGAAAUUGAAAGGCGGCUUCGGCUGUCACUUAUGGAUGGACCCGCGUCGCAUUAGCUAGUUGGUGAGGUAACGGCUCACCAAGGCAACGAUGCGUAGCCGACCUGAGAGGGUGAUCGGCCACACUGGGACUGAGACACGGCCCAGACUCCUACGGGAGGCAGCAGUAGGGAAUCUUCCGCAAUGGACGAAAGUCUGACGGAGCAACGCCGCGUGAGUGAUGAAGGCUUUCGGGUCGUAAAACUCUGUUGUUAGGGAAGAACAAGUGCUAGUUGAAUAAGCUGGCACCUUGACGGUACCUAACCAGAAAGCCACGGCUAACUACGUGCCAGCAGCCGCGGUAAUACGUAGGUGGCAAGCGUUAUCCGGAAUUAUUGGGCGUAAAGCGCGCGCAGGUGGUUUCUUAAGUCUGAUGUGAAAGCCCACGGCUCAACCGUGGAGGGUCAUUGGAAACUGGGAGACUUGAGUGCAGAAGAGGAAAGUGGAAUUCCAUGUGUAGCGGUGAAAUGCGUAGAGAUAUGGAGGAACACCAGUGGCGAAAGGCGACUUUCUGGUCUGUAACUGACACUGAGGCGCGAAAGC